ensembl:rRNA 5S_rRNA 5S ribosomal RNA
GUCUAGGGCCACACCACCCUGAAUGCACCAAUCUCGUCUGAUCUGGGAAGCUAAGCAGGGCCCCAGCCUGGCUAGCACUUGGAUCAAAGAAAGGACGGGUCGACCUGACC